GACGAACGCUGGCGGCGUGCUUAACACAUGCAAGUCGAACGGUGAAGCGCUUGCCUUUUUGGUGGGUGUGGAUGAGUGGCGAACGGGUGAGUAACACGUGAGUAACCUGCCCUCUUCUUCUGGAUAACCUCAUGAAAGUGGGGCUAAUACGGGGUAUUCCGGGUCUGUCGCAUGGCGGGUUUGGGAAAGAUUGCGCCUUUGGGUGUUUUCGGUGGGGGAUGGGCUCGCGCCUAUCAGCUUGGUGGUGGGGUGAUGGCCUACCAAGGCGGUGACGGGUAGCCGGCCUGAGAGGGUGGACGGCCACACUGGGACUGAGACACGGCCCAGACUCCUGCGGGAGGCAGCAGUGGGGAAUAUUGCACAAUGGGCGCAAGCCUGAUGCAGCGACGCCGCGUGAGGGAUGGAGGCCUUCGGGUUGUGAACCUCUUUCGCCAGUGAAGCAGGCCUGCUCCUGUGUGGGUGGGUUGACGGUAGCUGGAUAAGAAGCGCCGGCUAACUACGUG
rnacentral:rRNA from 1 species